rnacentral:tmRNA from 1 species
GGGGCUGACCGGUUUUGACAGCAGGCAGAGUCUGAUGGUAAGCACGCCGAGCGCUGUGAGCAGGCUCGUAAAUAUCGACUCUCAACUUACGAAUGGCAAUAACAGCUAUGCACUCGCUGCUUAAUUUACCGAGUAAAUUGGCUUAAUCGCCGCGCCCCAGGCGGUGUGGCGACGAGUAUCCCGCUUUCUGUCCCGCUCUUUGACGGGAGGCACUAUGGGGUAUCAAAAUUCAGGGCUGGUUCGGGCGAAGUCUGUGAUCCCGGGCGAGAAACUACAGGCUAAGGAUGGGGGGUCGUUUGCCGUUCGCCUGCCCCUUUCCCGACAACCGAGUAACGGAUAAGCGUGUAGAAAGCUCUCGGGUUCCUUGUUUGGACGAGGGUUCGACUCCCUCCAGCUCCACCC